GACGAACCGUGCGAACGUUGUUCGGAAUCACUGGGCUUAAAGGGCGCGUAGGCGGGCCAUCAAGUCUGGGGUGAAAUCUUUCGGCUUAACCGGAAAAUUGCCUUGGAUACUGGUGGUCUUGAGGGAAGUAGGGGCCUGUGGAACUUCCGGUGGAGCGGUGAAAUGUGUUGAUAUCGGAAGGAACGCCGGUGGCGAAAGCGACGGGCUGGGCUUCUUCUGACGCUGAGGCGCGAAAGCUAGGGGAGCAAACGGG
rnacentral:rRNA from 1 species